rnacentral:rRNA from 1 species
GAUGAACGCUGGCGGCGUGCCUAAUACAUGCAAGUCGAGCGAACGGACGAGAAGCUUGCUUCUCUGAUGUUAGCGGCGGACGGGUGAGUAACACGUGGAUAACCUACCUAUAAGACUGGGAUAACUUCGGGAAACGGGAGCUAAUACAGGAUAAUAUUUUGAACCGAAUGGUUCAAAAGUGAAAGACGGUCUGGCUGUCACAUAGAGAUGGAUCCGCACUGCAUUAGCUAGUUGGUAAGGGAACGGCUUACAAAGGCAACGAGGCAUAGCCGACCUGAGAGCGUCAUCGGCCACCCUGUAUCUGAGGCUCGUUCCACACUCCUACGGGAGGCCGCAGUAGGGAAUCUUCCGCAAUGCGCGAGUGCCUGACGGUGCACCGCCGCGUGAGUGAUGAUGGUCUUCUGCUCGUAAAACUCUGUUAUUAGGGAAGAACAUAUGUGUAAGUAACUGUGCACAUCUUGACGGUACCUAAUCAGAAAGCCACGGCUAACUACGUG